rnacentral:rRNA from 1 species
GACGGCUCAGUAACACGUGGAUAAUCUGCCCUUAGGUGGAGGAUAACCUCGGGAAACUGAGAAUAAUACUCCAUAGAUCUUGGAUGCUGGAAUGCACUUAGAUUGAAAGUUCCGACGCCUAAGGAUGAGUCUGCGGACUAUCAGGUAGUAGUCAGGGUAAAGACCUGACUAGCCUACGACGGAUACGGGUUGUGAGAGCAAUAACCCGGAGACGAUAUCUGAGACACGAUAUCGGGCCCUACGGGGCGCAGCAGGCGCGAAACCUUCACAAUGUGCGAAAGCACGAUGAGGGGAUCCCAAGUGCUUGCUCGUAAGAGUAAGCUGUUUUUAUGUCUAAAAAGCAUAGAGAGUAAGGGCUGGGUAAGACGGGUGCCAGCCGCCGCGGUAAUACCUGCAGCUCAAGUAGUGACCACUAUUAUUGGGCCUAAAACGUUCGUAGCCGGUUUGGUAAAUGCCUGGGUAAAUCGUGU